UUACAUUUAAAGAUAAAGAACAUUUAGGUCAACACUUCAUAUGGACCCUUAAAAAUCGUUGGAUUAUCUCGGUGUUGCUGGUCAGUAAUGAAUAAAAAAAUCACUGGUCAAUUUAAAGGUUGUUGUAAGUGAUGCAAUAUAUUCUUAUUUUCCUGUUCCCCUUAUGUAACUUCAAGUUUUAUUAAAGUUUACAUUCAUCAAAGCCUUAGUUUAAUUUAGUUUCCUGUCAUUACUACCCCCCCCCCCCUUUUCCCUUUUUUUUGUCGCAUGUUGUGUAUCAUGUACUGAUUCAAUAUAUACUUCGAGCAUACAUAUGUACACUUAUGGAACAAUAACCAUUUAGUAAACUUUUUAAAACGUUUUUGUAGACUUGUUUUCUUGUUAACUUGAAGAUGUAUAAAUAACCACACGAC
rnacentral:lncRNA from 1 species